rnacentral:rRNA from 1 species
AUUGAACGCUGGCGGAAUGCUUUACACAUGCAAGUCGAACGGCAGCACGGACUUCGGUCUGGUGGCGAGUGGCGAACGGGUGAGUAACAUAUCGGAACGUAUCCAAUAAUGGGGGAUAACUAAUCGAAAGGUUGGCUAAUACCGCAUACGCCCUACGGGGGAAAGCGGGGGAUCGAAAGACCUCGCGCGAUUAGAGCGGCCGAUGCCUGAUUAGCUUGUUGGUGGGGUAAAAGCCCACCAAGGCGACAAUCAGUAGCUGGUCUGAGAGGACGACCAGCCACACUGGAACUGAGACACGGUCCAGACUCCUACGGGAGGCAGCAGUGGGGAAUUUUGGACAAUGGACGCAAGUCUGAUCCAGCCAUUCCGCGUGCAGGAUGAAGGCCCUCGGGUUGUAAACUGCUUUUGUACGGAACGAAAAGGUUCUAUUAAUACUAGAGCUCAUGACGGUACCGUAAGAAUAAAGCACCGGCUAACUACGUG